rnacentral:siRNA from 1 species
AGAGUCUGGGAACUGGUGGCUAAG